rnacentral:rRNA from 1 species
UACGAAGGGGGCUAGCGUUGCUCGGAAUUACUGGGCGUAAAGCGUAUGCAGGCGGAUCGUUAAGUCGGGGGUGAAAUCCCGAGGCUCAACCUCGGAACUGCCUUCGAUACUGGCGAUCUUGAGUCCGGGAGAGGUGAGUGGAACUCCGAGUGUAGAGGUGAAAUUCGUAGAUAUUCGGAAGAACACCAGUGGCGAAGGCGGCAUCCUGGACCGGUAUUGACGCUGAGGCGCGAAAGCCAGGGGAGCAAACGGG